rnacentral:rRNA from 1 species
CCUACGGGAGGCAGCAGUGGGGAAUUGUUCGCAAUGGGCGCAAGCCUGACGACGCAACGCCGCGUGGAGGAUGAAGACCUUCGGGUCGUAAACUCCUUUCGAUCGAGACGAAUGUUUUCCGGGUGAACAAUCCGGAAAAGUGACGGUACCGAGAGAAGAAGCCCCGGCUAACUCUGUGCCAGCAGCCGCGGUAAUACAGGGGGGGCAAGCGUUGUUCGGAAUUACUGGGCGUAAAGGGCUUGUAGGUGGCCAGCUAAGUCAGACGUGAAAUCCCUCAGCUUAACUGGGGAACUGCGUCUGAUACUGGAUGGCUUGAGUUUGGGAGAGGGAUGCGGAAUUCCAGGUGUAGCGGUGAAAUGCGUAGAUAUCUGGAGGAACACCGGCGGCGAAGGCGGCAUCCUGGACCAACACUGACACUGAGGAGCGAAAGCCAGGGGAGCAAACGGGAUUAGAUACCCCGGUAGUCCUGGCCCUAAACGAUGAAUGCUUGGUGUGGCGGGUAUCGAUCCCUGCCGUGCCGAAGCUAACGCAUUAAGCAUUCCGCCUGGGGAGUACGGUCGCAAGGCUGAAACUCAAAUGAAUUGACGG